GGGGUCGCAAGACCCAGUGGCGGACGGGUGAGUAACGCGUAGGCAAUCUGCCCCUCAGUGGGGGACACCCAGCCGAAAGGUUGGCUAAUACCGCAUACGCUGGUCGGUUGAAAUACCGGUCAGGAAAGGUUUACUGCUGAGGGAUGAGCCUGCGUCCGAUUAGCUAGUUGGUAGGGUAACGGCCUACCAAGGCGACGAUCGGUAGCUGGUCUGAGAGGACGAUCAGCCACACUGGAACUGAGACACGGUCCAGACUCCUACGGGAGGCAGCAGUGGGGAAUUUUCCGCAAUGGGCGCAAGCCUGACGGAGCAACGCCGCGUGGGUGACGAAGGAUUUCGGUCUGUGAAGCCCUUUCAGUCGGGACGAGUCGCAGACGGUACCGACAGAAGAAGCAUCGGCUAACUACGUGCCAGCAGCCGCGGUAAGACGUAGGAUGCGAGCGUUGUCCGAAAUUAUUGGGCGUAAAGCGUACGUAGGCGGUCAUCUAGUCUGGGGUUAAAGCCAACGCUCACCUUGGGAUGCCCUGGAUCUGGGUGCUGGAGGAGGCGAGGAAUUGGAAUCCCGUGUAUGCUGAAAUGCGUAGAUUUGGGAGGAACACCAGUGGCGAAGCGACUUUCUGGGCCUUCCUGACCUCAGGUCGAAACCAGGGGAGCAACGGCUUAGAUCCCCGGUCUCCUGGCGUAACGAUGAUACUAGUGUCAUCGGAUCACCCCGGUCGUGCCUACUAACCGUUAAUAUCCCCCUGGCAGUCGGCGCAAGGUGAACUCAAUGAUUGACUGCAA
rnacentral:rRNA from 1 species